rnacentral:rRNA from 1 species
AUGGCAAUUAUGAAGAACAAUACAAGGGCUCUAUGCUUGGUAGUUCUUCUUAUGUCUGCCACUUUUUCAUGUCAUGCAACUGGGAGAAACAAAGGUACGACUGCAUGGAGAGCUUUGUGCGGAGACUUUAAGAUAUGCGAGAACCCAACGGUGAACAAUGUUAAUAUUUGCAGACUUAAUUGUGAAUGGUCUGGUUACAUCUUCGAUGACAGCUACUGCGACCGUGAUAGUUAUCUUGGCAAGGGGCGAUGGUGGAGUGGCAAGGUCUCCAUCAGGAUUGAAGGGUGCACGGUGCAAGCCUCAUGGUGA